UAUUUCCCACAUCGAGCUCUCUUCCUCUCUCUCUCUCGUGAGUUGCACACCGGUCGCCGCCGCCACAAGGUCUAGCUUCUCCACCAACUUCCGGCAGUGGAUCCGGCUUCUGCGGCCGUCACCUACCACGGGGGACACACCCAAGACCGGCAGCGGCGCCGGCGCGGCUGUACCACCAGGCCGGUGAGGAGCGACGCCAAAUCACGCCGGCGGGUCACCGCGCACGGGCGUCGCUGGAUCCGGCGACUCCAAAUCUGACCGCCACCGGAUCUGGAUAGAAACUCCGCCUUCUACAUCCCAAGCUACCGAUCCAAGAAUAAACCAUGGAGCGGAGGGUGUCAAUAGUAGUUGCAUCUAUGUUCAUGUUAGCACUCGUCUUCUGUCAUGGUACGGAUGCUAAGUGUAAGCAACAAACCUACAAACUUCCUGUUCCUUGUAAUCAUGACAGUUGUGAUCCCUUUUGCACACAACAUAAGUACGAAUCUGGGACAUGUGGUUUUACUGGCGAUCCUGAUGAAAUUCUUUGCUACUGCAUUACCUGCGAUGAGAAGACUUUAGUUGAUCAAAUGGCACCGCGAAUCCAAGGGGACACAAAUGGCGCAUGAACAUGCAGUUCAUGAUGUAGUGAAAGAUUAGUGCUCUGAGUGUGAUUGUCGUAUUUAGUAUGAAAAUAUAUUGGUGGUGACUGAUAAAGGCAUUGGUAUUUAGUAUUUAGUA